UUGGGCCUCCGUUCUGUUGUACAGAGAAUAUGAUCCGCCAGGAGGAAAACAUGAUGGGGUUUUGUGAUUCUCUCUAGGAAGAACCCCCAGCCCCCCAUUCCCGGAUGGCUCAAACCAGAGGAAACCCCUGUGGCUUCGGCUGGUCCUGGGAGAGCAAGGCAGGAUGGGCCAAGGCUCUUGCCCAUCUCCUCCCCUUGGGGGCCGGCUCUAAUUGCUCUACCUCCUUUUGAAGAUACGGUGACACCCAGCUGGACCCAAGACGCUGAUAACGGUUCUGACCCGGGAGGAGGAUUGCGGAAGGAGAUCUUCCGGCUCCUUUUGUAAAAUCAGACUCACGUCAACUUUCGCAAUAAAAGCACUGCUGUCUCAUC